UCACGGUUUGUACAGAUCCUUUUCCGAAUGAUUUUUCACCCAUGACAACCGCGCGUCGAUGGUCUUGCAAGGCACCUGCCACAAUUUCAGAGGCCGAAGCCGACCCCCCGUUAAUUAAAACAACCAUCGGCAAUCCAUCGGCUAAAUCACCCUUGGUGGCCAUAUCGCGACGUAUGUCUUCUUCCUGUCGUCCACGGGUGGAAACAAUUUCGCCAUAGUUUAAAAAAUGGUCUGAAACACCGAUUGCUUCGGUCAAGAGGCCUCCUGGAUUGUUUCGA
rnacentral:ncRNA from 1 species